rnacentral:rRNA from 1 species
UACGUAGGGGGCGAGCGUUAUUCGGAUUUACUGGGCGUAAAGCGCGCGUAGGCGGUUACUUAAGUCGGAUGUGAAAGCCCUCGGCUUAACUGAGGAAGUGCACCCGAAACUGAGUAGCUAGAGUACGAAAGAGGGUCGCGGAAUUCCCGGUGUAGAGGUGAAAUUCGUAGAUAUCGGGAGGAACACCGGUGGCGAAGGCGGCGACCUGGGUCGAGACUGACGCUGAGGCGCGAAAGCGUGGGGAGCAAACAGG